rnacentral:rRNA from 1 species
GGCCAGACUCCUACGGGAGGCAGCAGUGGGGGAUAUUGCACAAUGGGGGAAACCCUGAUGCAGCGACGCCGCGUGGGUGAAGAAGCGCCUCGGCGCGUAAAGCCCUCUCAGCAGGGAAGAAAGAGGACGGUACCUGACUAAGAAGCCCCGGCUAACUACGUGCCAGCAGCCGCGGUAAUACGUAGGGGGCGAGCGUUAUCCGGAUUUACUGGGUGUAAAGGGAGCGUAGACGGCCAUGCAAGCUCGGUGUGAAAGGUGCGGGCACAACCCGCAGACUGCACUGAGAACUGUAUGGCUGGAGUGCCGGAGGGGCAGGCGGAAUUCCUGGUGUAGCGGUGAAAUGCGUAGAUAUCAGGAGGAACACCGGUGGCGAAGGCGGCCUGCUGGACGGCGACUGACGUUGAGGCUCGAAAGCGUGGGGAGCGAACAGGAUUAGAUACCCCCGUAGUA